GGCCAGGGGGAAGAAAAUUUAGAAUGAAACAUUUAGUAUGGGCAAGCAGGGAGCUGGACAGAUUUGCACUCAACCCUGACC
rfam:HIV-1 isolate 00PTHSM6 from Portugal gag protein (gag) gene, partial cds.